rnacentral:rRNA from 1 species
GGACCUGACUGCUAUCGGAUUGAUACUAAGCCAUGCGAGUCAUUGUAGCAAUACAAGGCAUACGGCUCAGUAACGCGUAGUCAACCUAACCUAUGGACGGGAAUAACCUCGGGAAACUGAGAAUAAUGCCCGAUAGAACAUUAUGCCUGGAAUGGUUCAUGUUCCAAAUGAUUUAUCGCCGUAGGAUGGGACUGCGGCCUAUCAGUUUGUUGGUGAGGUAAUGGCCCACCAAGACUAUUACAGGUACGGGCUCUGAGAGGAGUAGCCCGGAGAUGGGUACUGAGACACGGACCCAGGCCCUAUGGGGCGCAGCAGGCGAGAAAACUUUGCAAUGUGCGAAAGCACGACAAGGUUAAUCCGAGUGGUUUCUGCUAAAGAAACCUUUUGUCAGUCCUAGAAACACUGAUGAAUAAGGGGUGGGCAAGUUCUGGUGU